rnacentral:rRNA from 1 species
GCUACGGGUGUCAGCAGUGAGGAAUAUUGGUCAAUGGACGAGAGUCUGAACCAGCCAAGUAGCGUGAAGGAUGACUGCCCUAUGGGUUGUAAACUUCUUUUAUAUGGGAAUAAAACGUUCCACGUGUGGGAUUUUGUAUGUACCAUAUGAAUAAGGAUCGGCUAACUCCGUGCCAGCAGCCGCGGUAAUACGGAGGAUCCGAGCGUUAUCCGGAUUUAUUGGGUUUAAAGGGAGCGUAGGUGGAUUGUUAAGUCAGUUGUGAAAGUUUGCGGCUCAACCGUAAAAUUGCAGUUGAAACUGGCAGUCUUGAGUACAGUAGAGGUGGGCGGAAUUCGUGGUGUAGCGGUGCAAUGCUGAGAUAUCACGAAGAACUCCAGUGGCGAAAGCGGCUCUCUGGUCUGUAACUGACGCUGAGGUUCGAAAGCGUGGGUAGCAAACAGGAUUAGAUACCCUUGUAGUC